GAUAGUUUGGCCGAGUGGUCUAAGGCGCUGGCUUAAGGCCCCAGUCCGAAAGGGCGUGUGUUCGAACCCCAUAGCUGUCA
rfam:Perkinsus marinus ATCC 50983 gcontig_1104296705798, whole genome shotgun sequence.